rnacentral:rRNA from 1 species
GAGCUGGGUUUAGAACGUCGUGAGACAGUUCGGUCCCUAUCUGCCGUGGGUGUAGGAGAAUUGAAAGGAUCUGUCCCUAGUACGAGAGGACCGGGAUGGACGCACCUCUGGUGGACCUGUUGUCGCGCCAGCGGCAUAGCAGGGUAGCUAAGUGCGGACAGGAUAACCGCUGAAUGCAUCUAAGCGGGAAGCCCCCCUCAAAACCAGGUCUCGCUGAGAACCGUGGUAGACCACCACGUCGAUAGGCCAGGUGUGGAAGCGUGGUAACAUGUGAAGCUAACUGGUACUAAUCGUUCGAUCGGCUUGAU